rnacentral:lncRNA from 1 species
UAAAAGCAUCAAAGUCACACUUAUGCUUUCCAUUUCCGUAGACUUGGCAAGGAACUAUGCGGGCAUGCACUGAAUGGCCAGUCUCAGUGCCAAAUGGAAAACCUAUCCUCAGGCUCCUUGGCUCUGCCAGGUCAGAAGACUCAGAGCACACACUACACUGCAGCUGUUGAGGCCAUGGGAAGUAGGACCAAUGGAGUGCAGCCCUAUGAGGCAUAUAGAAGGAUCUGUCUGCCUGAAGACAAUGUGCUUUGUGUU